rnacentral:rRNA from 1 species
GAUGAACGCUGGCGGCGUGGAUAAGGCAUGCAAGUCGAACGCCCCGCAAGGGGAGUGGCAGACGGGUGAGUAACGCGUGGGAAUCUACCCAUCUCUGCGGAAUAGCUCCGGGAAACUGGAGUUAAUACCGCAUACGCCCUACGGGGGAAAGAUUUAUCGGGGAUGGAUGAGCCCGCGUUGGAUUAGCUAGUUGGUGGGGUAAAGGCCUACCAAGGCGACGAUCCAUAGCUGGUCUGAGAGGAUGAUCAGCCACAUUGGGACUGAGACACGGCCCAAACUCCUACGGGAGGCAGCAGUGGGGAAUAUUGGACAAUGGGCGAAAGCUUGAUCCAGCCAUGCCGCGUGAGGGAUGAAGGCCUUAGGGUUGUAAAGCUCUUUCACCGGUGAAGAUAAUGACGGUAACCGGAGAAGAAGCCCCGGCUAACUUCGUGCCAGCCGCCGCCGUAA